rnacentral:rRNA from 2 species
UACAGAGGGUGCAAGCGUUAAUCGGAUUUACUGGGCGUAAAGGGCGCGUAGGUGGUUAUGUAAGUGAGAUGUGAAAUCCCCGGGCUUAACCUGGGAACUGCGUCUUAUACUGCAUAGCUUGAGUACAUGAGAGGGUAGUGGAAUUUCCGGUGUAGCGGUGAAAUGCGUAGAUAUCGGAAGGAACACCAGUGGCGAAGGCGGCUACCUGGCAUGAUACUGACACUGAGGCGCGAGAGCGUGGGGAGCAAACAGG